UGACUUGCUGUUGAGACUCUGAAAUCUGAUUUUCUGAGAAUGAUGGGUGGGAACAACAUAAUGCGGGAUAUGAGAAGCACUACUGACUUGGUCUUCCUCCUUUCAGGGCCAGCACCUUCUCUCUAAAGCCCAAGAGGAGUUUGAGGAAAACUAGGUGUCUGUGUUCACUCCAGGCUGAAGUUACAGGUCUGAGCAAAUAAGGUGUAUAAAAAAUGGAAUCUGUCUUGGAGGACAUCAGAAGGUGAAUUUUCCAAGUUCUUGGACAACCUAGCUGUUGAAAAGCUUUCUGGGUUUGGGGGGUAUUUCAGAUGUACCUUAAAGUGUUAGCAGACACAGAUUAAGACACUGGGAGCCAAUGAAACAGCAGUUGAGGGUUUGCUGUGUAUCACAUUUCUGUAUUUUAUCACCCCCUUCCUGCAACAUUAUUUAUCUGGAAUCUACCUGCCCUUUUGUUUUUUAGAUACAAGGGCUUGGUUUUGUUACCCAGGCUGGUUUCAAGGCCAUAGCUUUAAGAGAUCCUCUCACCACAGAUUUCCAAAGUGCUGGGAUUGCAGGUGUGAUUCAUGGCACCCAGACUUUGCUGCCUUUCUUACAUGAUCCAGGCCCAGAACCCAAACUCAGGCACUGUAUAGAUGACCACUUUCGUAAACUACUGACCUAGCUUGUUGCCAAUUGUUGAUUGAACUUCCCAUAACUCCACUUCGUGUCUGUUCCUCUGUAUACAGCCACCUUCUGUUCCCGUCAUGAGCCUUUAGGUCUCCAUUUGCAUAUUGCAAAUACUAUGUUCCAUGUAGGUAGCUCAUUCAGGGCCUUGCUCUUCACUUCAAAAAAGGUUCCCUUGAGGACUGG
rnacentral:lncRNA from 10 species